rnacentral:lncRNA from 12 species
CCCCCCAGCCCGCUCCAAGCGCGGUCGCGCGGCGCCAUCUGGCGGGCUGCGGGGACGGAGGGAGCCGGGAGGGUCGCACCCCGGCAGGGGAGGGAGGGAGGAGGGAGGGAAAUUCCCAAAGGCAGAGCGUUCUGCUGAGGAGCUGAGCGGCCGCCCCCUCCCGCUGCCUGCAGGGCCCGGGUGCGCGGGGCUGGUGGGUCUCCCCUGCCGUGCGGAGCGGUAGCGAUGGUGUCUGCCACAGCCGAGGUUGUCAUCAGAUGUUGCACCUCGGCUUGUGGGGCUGCUGCUGAGAGGUUAUCAGCCAUGCGAGAGAGGGUGAGAUGCUGCCAUACAAUGUCACACAAAUGUGAAUUUCAACAGAUGCAGACUAUUUAUUUCCAGAAGAGAGAAUCUUGAAAGAGG